rnacentral:sRNA from 1 species
AUUUUGCAAGCAAUUAUAAGCAAUGUGUGCUGUUUAGAUGCUAACCUCGUAACUUCCCUGUUGAAUCCCAGCCUUUUCAUAUCUUAAUAAAAUAGAUCUCGCAAGUCUUGGCGUUAACUUUACUAACAUGUUAUGCUGACAUGCAUAUCAGCUAUUUCCUCAUCUCUUUUGGAGUUAAUCUUAACCUGUGCUUUGCCUCCUGUUCUGUCUUGACUUUGCCAGAAAAAUCGAGUUGAGCAGCAACUUCACGAGCAUUUGCAAGAUGCAAUGUCCUUCUUAAAGGAUGUCUGUGAGCAGUCUCGAAUGGAGGAUCGUUUAGACAGACUGGAUGAUGCAAUCCAUGUGCUGCGGAACCAUGCUGUGGGACCUUCCACCAGUUUGCCUGCUGGUCACAGUGAUAUACACAGUUUAUUGGGACCAUCCCAUAAUGCACCAAUUGGAAGCCUCAACUCAAACUAUGGAGGAUCAAGCCUUGUUGCAAGCAGUCGAUCAGCUUCAAUGGUUGGAACUCAUCGGGAAGAUUCUGUCAGUCUUAAUGGCAAUCAUUCAGUCCUGUCUAGUACAGUCACUACGUCAAGCACAGACCUGAACCAUAAAACACAGGAAAAUUAUAGAGGUGGCUUGCAAAGUCAGUCUGGAACUGUUGUUACAACAGAAAUCAAGACUGAAAACAAAGAAAAGGAUGAAAACCUUCAUGAACCUCCUUCAUCAGAUGACAUGAAGUCAGAUGAUGAAUCCUCCCAAAAAGAUAUCAAGGUUUCAUCUAGAGGCAGAACAAGCAGUACUAAUGAAGAUGAGGAUUUGAACCCUGAACAGAAAAUAGAAAGGGAGAAGGAGAGGCGGAUGGCUAACAAUGCCAGAGAACGCUUACGCGUGCGGGAUAUUAAUGAAGCAUUCAAAGAGCUUGGCCGAAU